rnacentral:lncRNA from 1 species
GCUAGCAAGCUAGCAGUCAUCAUUAUGAAUCAAGUCGACAAUCGACUUGCAAAUCCUUUUCAAUCCUUGUCAUAUGAAGAGAAAUUAUUGAUAAAACCUAUCGGUACUCAUCGGCCAUUGGACAUAAACAUUACACAGCAAGUUAGAAAUAGCAAAUUCAACAAUGAGUGGUUUGGAAGAAAUCAGUGGCUAACUGUAAGCCUGCUAUUCAGUGGAGUGGAUGUGUCCAAGUCUGGGUUUAAUGGUCUCUUUUCCAAGUUUAAAAGGAUAAACAUUCAACAAUGGCCAUGCGGCCAAUCCAGCAUGACUUCUGCCGCUUUCAAAACAACUGGAAACUCGCAACUGGGAAAUUUCAGACUUCAGUGAGUUCAAGACAACUGGGAACUCUGAAAAAAAACGAGCUCCGACUGGGAAAAUACGUUUUGAACGGUCAUCCAACUCGGUAUUCCAUGUUGGGAACUCAGGCCUCUUUCUAGAGCUCCGACCUGAAGAUCACUAACGUCAUGAUUCGAACUUGUUUUUUUCUGAGUUCCCAGUUGUCUUGAAAGCACCAUAAAUCCAGAGAAUGACAGACUUUGAUAACAAAGUUUGAUGACAAAACUUGCACCACCAAGAUUGCCAUGCUAAAAUCUCCACUGUCUACAAUACAGCAUACAGCAUCCCACAAUAUUUCCUAGCCAUAUAUGUUGUGUCUCUUGCUGGAGCGAACUGACAUCUAAUGUCUUCAAUGGGAGAAACAGGUUGUGUUGAUGGAUGAGGCCUUGGUUUGUCUCCCAGAUCAUGCUUCUGAAGCCCUCAUCCACCUGAGAAAGACAAGCCAAAAGCCCCACAAGUUAUUGGCAUCAUGAUUCAUCUCUAUGGGGCAAAUCGUAACACAAGGGUGAUAUGCGCAUCCUAAACUUCUACUUAAGUCACAUUUUCACCCAGCUAGCACACUUGGUUCCUUGGAAGCUGUGGGAACGUACAUUUUUGGUUUCCUAUUGGUUCUGGGAAUGUUUUUUUAAGAUUCUGAGAACAGAAGUGAACAUGUUCUGGGAAUGUACAUUUUUGGGAUGCAGAGAGGUUCUGAGAAUGUUUUACUAUGAUUCCCUGAAAGUUUUCCUGGGUGGUUUUAUUAGCGUUAUGAGAACGCUAGGUUAUUUGAAGGUAAUUAAAUAACGCUCUGAGAACAUUCUCUAAAUGUUGUGAAUGUUUUGAAAGAAAUGUAAAAGUUUUUUGGAGGUUUUUGAAUAAUUUCCUUUAAACUUUCACUGAAUGUUUCAAUAAGACAUUUAAUAACACUGCUAGAUUAGUUUGGGCUAACUGUUUUGAAUUCCAAGUACAGAGAUGACACGUGGACAUUUAUUUGCUUAGGCAUUAAAAUUAGUCCAAUGCGUCACCAGGAUGGAGGAAGCAUGCCAUGUUUUUUUUAACUCAAAGAAAGCUGUUCAAACAGACCCUAUUUCAAAAGAACCAAGCACUCGUUAAGUUCAGGUGUGGGCAAUUAGUGGGCUCGGCUAACAUACCUGAACACACUAAACAAGAUAGCGUUUUGUUGACACUGAAAACAGAAUGUAUAUGUUUUUAAAUAAGAUUCUUAGAACAUUCUUUGAACAUUACUACAGUUUUCUUGUUGUUUUAUGGAUAGUUUUCUUAAUGUUCUGAGAAUGUGAAUGUUCUGAGAACACUUUAAACAGAACCAUAAGGAAACCUGUAGGAAACGUUAUGCUGAAGUACGGAAAUUCCACAGAAGAACGUUGUUUCUUAACAUUCUCGGAACAAUUUGAGAAUAUUACUUUAAAUAGAACCCUGAGAAAACAUGUAGGUAGCAUCAAGCUGAAGCACAGAAAUUCCCACAGAAGAACGUUGUUUCUUAACCUCUAUGGGAUCUGUGUCCCUAAACCAGGAUGGUUGUUGCUAAUGUGCACUAACGUGACUAGAAUGACGUUAGUGCAUGAAUUUCCAGGACAUAGACAAGUCUUAUAUGGGCAGAAAGCUUAAAUUUUUCUUAAUCUAACUGCACUGUGUCGUAGGGUGUAGACCAAAAUGCAGCGGGAAAAUGUAUACUCAUCUUUUUAUUAGUGAAGAAGGAAAACACAAACAACGUAUACAAAAACAAACGAACUAGACAGUCUCGUCAGGCACACAGCAAAACAAGAAACAAUCUCCCACAAAAUCCCAUGACAAACACACUCCUAAAUAUAGGACCUUCAAUCAGAGGCAACGAUAGACAGCUGCCUCCAAUUGAAGGCCCCAUUCCCCAUGACCAAAACAUAGAAAUACAAACACCUAGACAGAACAUAGAAAUAAACUAACAUAGAACGAUAACCCAAAAACCCCGGAAUACAUAAAUCAAAUACCCGUCUACAUGAACACAUACACAAACACACCCUAAACCACAUAAAACAAAUACCCCCUGCCACGUCCUGACCAAACUACAAGAACAAAUAACCCCUUUACUGGUCAGGACGUGACACACUGUCCAAUUUAGAGUAACUAUUACAGUGAAAAAAUACCAUGCUAUAUUUAAAGAGAGUGCACAACAACAAAACGCUUUUAUCACGGCAACUGGUUUGAUACAGUCACCUUUAAAGGUAAAUAAUGUAGUUUCAUUCAGUAAUCUUGCUCUGAUUUGUCAUCCUGAGGGUUCCAGAGAUAAAAAGUAGCAUAGUUGUGUUUGAUAAAUACAUUUUUAUAUUCAAAUGUAGGAACUGGGUUCUACAGUUUGAACCCUUGCUGUUUCACAUUUCC